GACGUAGGGGGCCAGCGUUGCUCGGAAUUACUGGGCGUAAAGGGUCCGUAGGCGGUGUGGCAAGUCGGAAGUGAAAUCUCUGGGCUUAACCCAGAGGCUGCUCCCGAAACUGCUAUGCUAGAGUGCGAGAGAGGCGAGUGGAAUUGCGGGUGUAGCGGUGAAAUGCGUAGAUAUCCGCAGGAACAUCCGAGGCGAAAGCGGCUCGCUGGAUCGCAACUGACGCUGAGGGACGAAAGCUAGGGGAGCAAACAGG
rnacentral:rRNA from 1 species